AUUGAACGCUGGCGGCAGGCCUAACACAUGCAAGUCGAACGCGUGGCGGACGGGUGAGUAAUAUCUGUGAAACUGCCCGCUGGAGGGGGAUAACUACUGGAAACGGUAGCUAAUACCGCAUACCAUCGGAUGUGCCCAGAUGGGAUUAGCUUGGAGGUGAGGUAAAGGCUCACCUGGGCGACGAUCCCUAGCUGGUCUGAGAGGAUGACAAGCCACACUGGAACUGAGACACGGUCCAGACGCCUACGGGAGGCAGCAGUGGGGAAUAUUGCACAAUGGGCGCAAGCCGGAUGCAGCCAUGCCGCGUGUAUGAAGAAGGCCUUCGGGUUGUAAAGUACUUUCAGCGGGGAGGCGUUACCCGCAGAAGAAGCACCGGCUAACUCCGUGCCAGCAGCCGCGGUAAUAC
rnacentral:rRNA from 1 species